UACAGAGGGUGCAAGCGUUAAUCGGAAUUACUGGGCGUAAAGCGUGCGUAGACGGUUAUUUAAGUCAGGUGUGAAAGCCCAGGGCUCAACCUUGGAAUUGCAUUUGAGACUGAAUAGCUAGGGUGCGGAAGAGGGAAGCGGAAUUUCCGGUGUAGCGGUGAAAUGCGUAGAUAUCAAGAGGAACACCUGAGGUGAAGACGGGUUGCUGGGCCGACACUGACGCUGAUAGCGCGAAAGCCAGGGGAGCAAACGGG
rnacentral:rRNA from 1 species